AACCCAUGCUGAGGCCAUUUUCGCAGGAGAUCCUUGAGCCUAUCCUAUGUCUCAAAGAGAGACUCCAAUUCCAUUUCCACAAAAGUGGAUAUUUCAUUCCUAAGCAU